rnacentral:tRNA from 1 species
CGGGAUGUAGCGCAGUCCGGUAGCGCGCUUCGUUCGGGACGAAGAGGUCGUGGGUUCGAAUCCCGCCAUCCCGA